GUCAUCUCUCGCAUGUCAGUAAUUGGCAGACUUUGUUAACAUGAUGAGGAUGUCUGUGGUGUUCUUGAUGAUGCACUUGUGUUGGCCUGGCUCUAAGGCUGAGAAAGGGUGCUAUGACCCUGCUUUGCUGGAAAGAGCAGAAGUGGCUCUAGAUAGAAUCAAUAAAAAUAGAAAAGAAGGAUACAUACUGAAACUGGAACGACUUUAUGACUUCAGCAUGCCAAAGGGAGAAAUUGGGACAGAUUACACCUUCUUCAUGGAUGUGGUGGAGACAGAGUGCCAUGUUCUGAGCAGAAACCCAUUUGAGUCAUGUGAGAUCUAUGGUCAUCAUUAUGGUGUAAAUGUUUAUGGACGCUGUGUGAUAUCAAAGGGUCCACGUGACAUAGUAACAAGAUACCACUGUGUUCUUUUAAAAGUGGCACCAUCAGCCAUCCACAAUAGGUGUCCAGAUUGCCCCACAGAUGCAGACUUGGAUUCAACCGUUAUGGAGAAGGUGAAACUGACUAUCCAGCAGUUCAAUUAAAAAAGUGAAUCGCUCAAAUACUUUGCCUUGCUCAAUGUUACGAGGGCAACAAUGCAGUGGGUUUCUGGCCCUUACUAUUUUUUUGAAUAUACAAUUCAAGAGACCAUCUGCACAAAAUCCAUGACUGAUGUCAACAUUACUCAAUGUGAAAUGAACAAGUCGGAGUCUGCUAGAGUGGGAUUCUGCAAGGCAUCACACCUAAGUCAAUACCACCUUGAACUCCUUCCUCCUUCAAUCGAUGUAAACUGUGAACUAUAUGACCCUAACCGCUGGGGUGACAAACCCGAUUCCUUGCUGGGGUCUGUGCGAGUUCUUCCCUUUACUUCCACUUUGCCUCCAAGACUACGACCGAGAAGCAAGAACUGUCCUGGAAAUUCUACAAUUCCCCAGGAGAUGUGGUUCUGAAGCAGAGAGAAGGCUUCUCUGAACUUCCCAAGAAGAUGUGGGACUGAACAUGGCAGACCAAGAAGACUUUUCUGAAAAAAAAGCAGCACUGCUGUUGAAGUGCUGAAUGUUCAAAAUAAAAAUAAGAAACAUUCCAAAUUG